UACGGAGGGUGCAAGCGUUAUCCGGAAUCACUGGGUUUAAAGGGUGCGUAGGCGGCCAUAUAAGUCAGAGGUGAAAGCCUACAGCUUAACUGUAGAACUGCCUUUGAUACUGUAUGGCUUGAAUUAGGUUGAGGUUGGCGGAAUGUGGCAUGUAGCGGUGAAAUGCAUAGAUAUGCCAUAGAACACCAAUUGCGAAGGCA
rnacentral:rRNA from 1 species